AGCGGCAUCGCUCGCACCACUGCCGCCGGAGCAGUGGUUGAACUUUGGGAAGCUCAUUUCAAAAACGUGUUUUUGAGUGGGCUGCUCCCUGACAUACGAGCUGAAGUGGACAAAACCUGCAUUGGACUGCCCGAUUCAGCCCUGAUGGAGAUUGUUAGACAUGCUAGACAUGCUGAGAAAAUCCUGACCAGCACAAGAGACAAGACGGAGAAGAAAAGACAACAAAACAGUGAUGCUGCACAGUUAACCCUCAUAAAAACUGUGGCAGCAAUGUCUCAAGAAAGAAGGAAUGCGGGCAGAGGAAAAGGCAGAGGCAGAGGAAAAGGCAGAGGAAACAGAGGCAGGGGCCGUGGCAACACACCGAUAGUGGACAAAGACCCUUGCAACAACUGUGGCGAGAAAGGGCAUUGGGCCUACGAAUGUCCCCACCCCAAGAAGGACUCGUCCAAGGGACAGCGCAACGACCCCCAGCAGUUUGCAGAUUGACAGGCGGUGGGGGAUGGAAAGACGGGUGGAAUGGACGGACUGGAUGACACGAGUGCGCCUGUUAAGGAGGGUAACAUGCACACACACACAGGCUGCUGAGCUCAUUGCCCUCACGGAAGUUGGCUGAUGGCUCAUCUGUUACCAUCUUCACGGACUCAAGGUAUGCUUUUGGAGUGGUGCACGACUUUGGUGCACUGUGGAAGCACCGACGUUCUGUGCUAUCUCUGAAAUCAAUCGGGGAGAAACUGGAGUUUUUCUCACUGAUUUGCAAACACACUGAAGGAGGAGAGAAAGUGUGACCAACAUACUGGUAUUGUACCUUUUUGAACACAGCACAUUCCUGAAAAA